rnacentral:rRNA from 1 species
AACGAACGCUGGCGGCAGGCUUAACACAUGCAAGUCGAACGGGCCCUUCGGGGUCAGUGGCAGACGGGUGAGUAACGCGUGGGAACGUGCCCUUCAGUUCGGGAUAACCCAGGGAAACUUGGGCUAAUACCGGAUACGUGCGAGAGCAGAAAGAUUUAUCGCUGAAGGAUCGGCCCGGGUCUGAUUAGCUGGUUGGUGGGGUAAUGGCCCACCAAGGCGACGAUCAGUAGCUGGUCUGAGAGGAUGAUCAGCCACAUUGGGACUGAGACACGGCCCAAACUCCUACGGGAGGCAGCAGUGGGGAAUAUUGGACAAUGGGCGCAAGCCUGAUCCAGCCAUGCCGCGUGAGUGAUGACGGCCUUAGGGUUGUAAAGCUCUUUCGCACGCGACGAUAAUGACGGUAGCGUGAGAAGAAGCCCCGGCUAACUUCGUGCCAGCCGCCGCCGUAACAC